rnacentral:tRNA from 4 species
GCUCCAGUGGCGCAGCUGGUUAGCGCUUCGUGCUUAUAACGCGACGGUCGUGGGUUCAAUCCCCUCCUGGAGCA